CCCUAAACACACUGCACGAUUUUCGGCUGUUCCAGGCGAAAGAUUGGCAUCGUGAAACAAUUGUGGCCAAUCAGAAAUCACCACGAUUGCUUCACGAAGGUGGUCUUUCGUCUGGGACAGCCUAAAAUCGUGCAGUGUGUUUCAGGCUUUAAUCAAACAAACAAGAACCAGCUAAUUAAGAGACAGGUGUUUGAUCAGGAUUGGAGCUGAACUUUGCAGGAAGGUAGAUCUCAGGAACAGGACUGGGAACUCCUGGUUUAAACUGUAUGUAGCUGAAAAUACAGUAGUCUAAGAAAAAAUUAUUAUAACUGAUUUGUUGAAUAUAACUUGCUAGCUAAUAAUAAUAAUAAUGCUCUGUACCCAUACUUUUUUAUAUGUAUAUAUAUAUAUAUUUCAGGACAGAAAGACCAGAAUUGGGAAGAAGAACAAAAUAUCUGGGCCAUAUUCCCUUUGUAUCAGCAGCUUCCUGAUGAGAAUAACAUUCUUGAAAAAGCAGAAGCCAUCAUUGGUCCAUACUUGGAAUGCUGUGAAGUGAGCUGGUCAGUAAUGUAAUGUUCCUGGUAUGCAAGUUUGCUCCACAAAAUAAAGUGGUCCAGGAAAUAUAUGAAAAUGAGGAUGUUCAUGAUUCAAUAUCGUAAACUAAACCCUUCAGGAAGAUGUUGCAAACACGUCUGGAGACUUUGAGAAGAUAUCUGGCAAGCCAACCUAUGGCCUGGUUUAAAGGGAGCACAUUCAAACUACAGCAGUUUAAUGAUACACCUGCUAUACCUUUUUGUUGUGAAAUGUUCCUGUGGAUUAUACAUGCAUUUAAUUCUCUGGAUUUGUUUGUAAUUGUAUAAAAAUGGAAGGAAGUCAUAAUUAUACUUGAUUAUUUUAUUGUAAUAUUGGACCUGUAAACUGAUUAUUUUCAAUCUCAAUUUCUUUCAUUUUGUUCUUACACAAACAAUUGAAUUGACAUUGAAUUAAACAACAUUAACAGCAUGGAGAAGAAGAAAAUUUUUUUUGGCUAUUUUUUACAUUACAAGCGCAACUGCAAUAGACUAUGAGAACAUUAAGUGGUUGCACAUACUGUAGAUUGACACUGGGAUCUUUUGCAAUCACAUUUAACACAAGUCAACUCACAAAAAUAACACAAGUCAACUCUGUGACAGAAGACCUAUCAGAUGGUAAUUGUUUCUCAUGUGAACAUAUGUAAAAAUAUAUUUACUCAUGGAUUUGAUGCUUUUUUCACAGUGGAGAAGCAAGGUGUGUGAUCAUAUGAACCUAGAAAUGCACUGCUGACAUGGCCAAUCGCAUGGUUGUCUGCUAUAAAUAAAUAAAAUGGCAUAUGCUUGGAAUAAUAAAUAAAUUUAAAUGUAAUAUACUAUUCGUUAUUUAUUUAAAUCUCUGGUUUAAGAAUAGAAAAAUAGACCCACUAGUUUAAAAAGUUUUCUUAAAUUUUAGCUCUCAAAAUGAUGGGUGUCAUUAAAAAUGUGGAGAUUAGCAGAAAUGCGUUGCAACCUCUUAUUUACAUGAGGUAAACAAAGCUGCUUGGUUUACAUUUUUAUGUAUGUACUUGUAGGGCUAUACAUAUUUUAAAGUUGUAUUGUAUACCUGUUACUGCCAUAAUAAUGACCCAUUUCAAAUGUUUACAUGCUUUCUGGUCUUUUUGUUCUUAACAGCACUCAAUUGUUGUGGUGGAGCAGUUAUGAAGUAUUGUUCUUGUAAAUACUUUCUAGCAUUUCAGUAUUUUUUUUUCAGUAAUAUGCAUGCAAAGUACAACAGUUAGUAUAUCAUGUUAAACGGUGGUCAAAAAGGAUUUAAACAGUUAGUUUUGAAUCUAUUUCUUCUUCUCAGAGAUGUGGAUUCGGACAGCAAUUAAAUUACCACAUGACUUUAUUAAUUCGGCCAGGGAUUUUUACAGGGAUGGUGGGAGAAAAACGCUGACAUUCUGGAUUCGGAUGGCAAUAAAAUCACAGACUAACCCCUGUAAAUGCUGAAAAUCGCUUACGUCCCCAUGAGAACCAAUUACCAUCCAAAUCUGGCUAUUAUGUGCUUUUAUCAGGUGGAACCAAACAUACACCAUUUUUCAUACAUCUCCAUUUUUGCACCAUUUUGGACUCUGCAGUAUCAGAUGCCUCUUCAGUGGUAGCUCCUUUGAUUUGUCGAAUUUCUGCCAGCUCGUCCAGGUAACUGAAGAAUAAAAUAAAAGAUCAAUCAAUAAUACAGUAAUUGUCUACUGAUUUAUAAAUGUAAUGAUUUAAAAAAAAAAAAAAAAUUGAAUACCUUUAAAAAUAUGCAUACAUUUACUAGACUAAAACUAGUAAAAAUAAACAGGAAGGUUAUGCCAAAAUAUCAAUCCUAUAUAAAAAAAAUGAAUAAUAGAUUUAUAUAUAUAUAUAUAUCUACGCAGUGUAGAAUACAAUGUAUAUUAUGGGACAACUUGCUUCAGUUUUACAACAGUCAAGAAUGGCCAGGGAGCUAACAGCCAUGUUUACUGAAUGUUCUUCAUGCUUGAUAUAAUGUGUUGUUUAAAAGAAUGAACAAUGGUUAGAUCAUAGAGGAUAGCACAUAGUAUACUAAAAAUAACAGUAACACUGACCUAUUGAGUACUCCUGCCCUGAGAGCAGCAUAGUUCAGUAAAAAGAACAGUAAUAGGGACCUAUUGAGUACUCCUGCCCCGAGAGCAACGCAUAGUUCAGUUAAAAGAACAGUAAUAUGAAUAUUGAGUACUCCUGCCCUGAGAGCAGCACAUAGUUCAGUAAAAAUAAUAUGAAUAUUAAGUACUCCUGCCCUGAGAGCAGCACAUAGUUCAGUAAAAAGAACAGUAAUAGGGACCUAUUGAGUACUCCUGCCCUGAAAGCAGCGCAUGGUUCAGUAAAAAGAACAGUGAUAUUAAUACUGAGUACUCCUGCCCCAAGAGCAGCACAUAGUUCAGUAAAAAGAACAGUAAUGGGGACCUAUUGAGUACUCCCGCCCUGAGAGCAGCACAUAGUUCAGUAAAAAAUAAUAUAAAUAUUGAGUACCCCUGCCCUGAGAGCAGCACAUAGUUCAGUAAAAAGAACAGUAAUAGGGACCUAUUGAGUACUCCCGCCCUGAGAGCAGCACAUAGUUCAGUAAAAAAUAAUAUAAAUAUUGAGUACUCCUGCCCUGAGAGCAGCACAUAGUUCAGUAAAAAGAACAGUAAUAGGGACCUAUUGAGUACUCCUGCCCUGAGAGCAGCACAUAGUUCAGUAAUAAUAAUAUGAAUAUUGAGUACUCCCGCCCUGAGAGCAGCGCAUGGUUCAGUAAAAAGAACAGUAAUAGGGACCUAUUGAGUACUCCUGCCCUGAGAGCAGCACAUAGUUCAGUAAAAAGAACAGUGAUAUUAAUACUGAGUACUCCUGCCCUGAGAGCAGCACAUAUUUCAGUAAUAAUAAUAUGAAUAGAGUACUCCUGCCCUGAGAGCAGCACAUAGUUCAGUAAUAAUAAUAUGAAUAUUGAGUACUCCUGCCCUGAGAGCAGCACAUAUUUCAGUAAUAAUAAUAUGAAUAUUGCGUACUCCUGCCCUGAGAGCAGCACAUAGUUCAG